AUGUCGGGUGUUUCUAAUGCUUCGUGGGGAUUUUUUUGUUGGAUCUACUUUUCUCACUUGGGGUUUGGCUGUCCAUUUCAAAUGAUUCAGUUCAGCUCGUGCACUUGCCGUGAGCAUGAUAUUGUUGUGGCAUGAACCUCACAUUCGUGGAUUGACCGUUCCGGUGUCUGCGGAAGUUUUGUUGCUGUGGCGUCUGCGAUCUGUUUUGCACACAGUAUUCAGCUGCUUCCGUAGCGUGCCUUAGGGAGAUUAUUUUGCAGGAAUUGUUUACAUGUAGAAUUAAUUGUUUACACAGUUUCCCGGUGCUGUUUUUGUGGAUCUAUACCACUCAUACUCAAAGAAGUACACAACAACAUAAUUCUACAAUUGCACUGCCAAUUCGUUGAUGAGUAGAAUUCAUGCAAGUCGCGUAUGUAAACAGUACGAGGAAAAGAUUCGAGCGAAGCAAAAUUCUCAGUAGUUCUAAAAGGGAAUUAGAGCUUAGAUUGAAUUACAGCUAAUUGUGAAUUAAAGUUGUUAAAUGCACUUGUGUUUUACUACAUAGCACAACAAAAAUCCAUUGCAAGUAGGACAACAUGGCACCUCAACAACAUGGUAACUGAAAAUUCAACAAUUUAAGUAAAAAUGCCCGGAAAAUGAGGUUAGUUGGUUUUCGGGUGCAAUUUUUCAUGUUUUUUGUAACCUGUCUAACACGUCCAAUUUGGCUAGCUUUUAAUCUAACACGGAUUCAUCCACUUAGUGGGCGCUAGAAGUAUACCCUAAUUGAUGCUCUUCCCUUUGCAAGAGGAUUACUCGCAACGGCUUCCUUUAAGCGGACAGAAUAAUACGCCCCGGUACAUCCUGCAAGGCCAAUUACGUCACUUUACGCUGACGCUUUAAUGCUCGCUCGACAAGAGAAACUGUGCUAAAAUAUGAUCAUAAAUAAAUUACACUGCUGCUCAUCCGAGCGUGGAAGGAAUUCGGUGCAAUACCGGAAUAACAAGGAUAACAAAAUUCUAAUUACAAGCACACGUUAUGAAGAAGCUCUACAGUAGGAUCAACCGGGUAGGGGUGGGUUUACUGUUGCGAUUAGGAUAUAAUGUAGCGGCUUUUGAUGAAUGAAGAAUGGUGCUCCUUCUGCUGACCAAACAUUGCGAGAAGUAUGCAAAACAUCAGUCCACGAUGGUGAAGGAACAAUUUUGGGUAGGGGAUUGUAUGGUUUCGGUAUUUUGUUUUGGCAUGAUACAAAUGUUUCACUCGCCCAACAUUGGCAAAGCAGCUCACUGUGCUGUGCACUGUGAGAAUAAAGUUAAAGAAGCGUUGAAUGAAAUAUAACCCACUGUUUAUUAAAAAAAAAAUUGAUGCUACCCUAGGAACGUGGGUAGGUUCUAACAAUGUGAAAAAGGAAAUAUAACCAAUUGCAGCACGUGCUCCUUAAGAUAUUUGGAUAAGCACACCUUCCCAUUUGCAUAGUUUGUUGCUGCAUUCUUGACUUUGAAUCCAAGCUUCGGGGGCCAACACUUUCAUUUACCUAUUGCAGGUCCUUGACCCGGCCCGGUCUGAUUCCGUUUGCUUAUCCAUCGGCAUCGCCGAAGCGAAGAGAAAUGUUAGUAAAAGCCAACUAGAUGGGCGGGAAGGUUUUAUCGAUCAGCAGUCGCUGCUCCCAGUGCCUGCUCCCAGGUUAGAAAACCGAAUUAACACACAUACCCAUUUGCCGGCUUCGAGAGGCUUCAGAGUCCGAUUCCUUCCGUGCGAUUGGAAGAUUUUCUCGGGCGCUGCAUGGCCUGGCGAAAGAGAAAGUUGUUUUUAAGUACCGUGCUGGGUGCGUAAUUUUCCGCAUUUUACUGUGUCAUCACUUCAUUAGACGGCGUGGCUUGUUUUGGGAGUAUCGGGAUUAGGUUAGGUACGGUCGUGCCGAGCACAUCGGUUGUUUGUGUGUGUUUUUUUUCUUUCAUCGGAACACUCUAAGGCACAGUUCGGUCGAAUCGGUAUAUCGUUGAUUUGCUGCGUCGCAGAAAGGUAUUUUUAGCUUUUUAUGUGCUAUCUCAAUCUCUCCGCAUUGAAAUGUGGGGAGGACAGAACCAUAAGUUUGUAAAUUGGAGCGCUUAACUGGCAUUUUUUGUUAUUCAAUCCUACCUGGAAAAGGUUAGCGGAAAGAUUCUUCAAAUCUUCAACGCCCUCGUUAUUGUUUUCCAAUUUGGUUGUGUGAACUUGAUGAACAUAAAAACUGCAAUCUUCCUCAAAGUGCCGUUCAAAAAACGGCGGCAUUUGCGUAAGUGGACGACAAAAAAUCAGACGACCAAUCAAAGUAAAGGCGGAGAUGGCGCAGACAACAACUAAAAAAGAGCGUAGAAAACAUGGACACUAAAUGUAGUGCCUUUCUAAUGAUUUCGUAGAUACACCAUUGAAUGUUUCUUUCACCUCGCCAGCACACAUUCCAUGUCGCUCGCACGGAAACGCACGGUCCGUCAAUCCGUUCUCGAGUUGCCUUGCCACAGCUGCUGCCCCUGUCCGUUCGUACUGUGAGGGAUCGCUGACGAAAUCUGACCGUUUGGAUCUCUUGACCUACAAAGCCGUCCCUACGGCCACGAGCGGGACGGCCCGCCCCGCAGCCGUAUGCGGGCCAAGUGGAUAAUGAUGGGUGAUGGGGAUCUCGUAACAAUGAGAUGCGCCAUGGACGGUUCCUUCUUCGCCGCACCCCGGAAAGGGCCGAUGAAAACGGGGUGGAAGGCGUUUCCCGUAGUUGGAAAAAUGGCCCGAAACGAAACCGUGCCACUCUUGUUGACCGGUACCAUGGCUACGGAUCUUUGUCAGUUAGCUACCGGAGUUGGGUGAGUUUUUUGUUGUUGCUGUUAAACAUCUAGUGUCUUCUUGUCCGAGAGAUCGUGACGUUCUGGGUGGAUUGAAAUGUGCCAAAAAUGGUGUCCGUAUUGAAAUUGAUUUAGCGUUUGGCACAUCGAUCGAUUUGGGACUUUGAACGAACCGGUAAAAAAAAUCGAACGGAUUAUUUCGAUUGAAUUUUGCCACAUCAAUUAGUGAAGGUUCAGCUCAGCGUAUACAGUUCGGUGCCGGUCUCGGUCAUGAUCUUGCGACUAAAAGCUAAGCUAGACUCAUGGCACGAAAUUAGCACGAAUGUAGCCGAUAGCUUACUUUCCGAAAGCCCUCACUACGGUCGAAGCCGCUCACAGCUUUCCAUUCCUUAAACCGCAGCCCCAGUCGGUAGGGGAGUAUCGGGCGUCUGCCUGGGGGGACGUUUCCUCCGAAGGCAACUGGCCGACAGCACAUUGCUCAUUGAACUUGAACUUUGUUGGCGCUAGCGGUAGGUCUUUCUCGAUUAUUUGCCUUUACCGUGGGCCGUGUGCUUUCCAUGCUCUGCAGUAAAACUGCAGCAACAGGAAACACGAUCUGCCGGCGGUCGAUCGACCCUUCAACAGAACCACUUUCCAUUGCAUGUAGCGACACUACACAACCGCACAUUGAGCAGUCAUAACCACCAGGCGGCGGUGAGGGCGAUGAAAAAAAAAUGAGGGGAAAAAAUACGACUAGUACAUUGACCGCUUGCCCGCUUGGUCAAAGUGAAAAUGAAACAUUUGCGCCGGUCACAUGUCACACACGGUGAAGCCAGUGAGGUUCACGUUGCUGCCAAGGGAAAGUGUUGCUUCGGUCGUGUUUGCGUGUAGUCCAAUAAAAGUGCCGCUAGUUAUAAAAUGUCGUUUGCAGCGAGCCGAGGUCUUGGCGUGAGUUCCAAAUGCUUCGAGGACAAACGGAAGGGUGAUAACAGCUUUUAUUGCGUAACCCACGUGCAACGUUGCUUUCGGAUCUUGUCAAGACAUUCCUUGACCGUGGGCAGAGACCAGUCCGGUUCCCACAGGUCAGAGCGUUUUGACUCUAAUUAGCUUGAACGUUAGUUUCCGUUUUAGGCUGAUGGUCAAUUACGACCUGCAAGUAAUACCAUGUGAACCAAAGCGAAAUGAUUAGAAGGUACGGUUGUGUUCAUCAAGUUGCUCUGAGUAGGAAUGGAAUAACUGCUGACUGAUUGAUAAACUAAACCUGCUGGUAAAUUAAUGAUAAGGAAAUUUUUCAAGUUUUUUUCAGUGUUUUUAGAAAAGUUUUCUAAGAAUAAUAUAUCUCAAUAAACUUAUGCUCAGUUCUGAGCAUGCAUAAUUAAUGCAUUAUCUAUCAAAA